rnacentral:lncRNA from 1 species
UGGAUAUAAUGAAAUAUUAACCCAAAACCGUGUAAAGCAAUAGCAGAACUACCCAAUGAUUCAUGGGUAAACAAGGUAAAAAGAUAAACAUUCUAAGAUGACCUAUUGGGUCCCAUCAAAAUUAACCUAUGCAUUGACAAGUGAUAAUAAAGAACAUUAUUGGGUAACAAAAGUGGAUCAAGGGCACAACUUGCCUAGCACUUGAGAUUCCAGUUACUAGGGUGAUUCUUCAGAUCCUCGUGACCUCACUGCUAGUCGUAGCAAAACAAACAUGAUAUAGACAAAAUUAACAUCACACCAAACAUAAGAACAAACUGAAUAAUAAUCUACGCGUUGCUACGAGAUCGCAGGAUCGAGAACUACUGAGAUCGAAGUUACGAUUAAGGAGUUAUGAUUUUUAUAAAAGAUUUGUGUGAUUAAAAUAUUAAAGUUUAUUAUAAAUUGGUUAAUAUAAAUCAUAUGAGAGGUUAUUUUAUAAAUAAUUAUCUCAACUUUAAUCUAAGUUAUAAAUUGACCAUAGAUUGUAUUCUAGUAGAUUAUAAUGAUAAGCAGUUUAAUUAGACUAACCAACAUCAGUUAAAUACAGAUCUAAUUAUAAAAUAAUGAGACAUGGGAUAAUAAAUGUUGUUAUUGCAUAGUAAAUAUUCGUACGAGACAAACACAACUUGAACGGAUCAAAUUGGAGUUAAAACGGAGGAGUUAUGAAUUUAUAAAGUUUUAAAUGUUGGAUAAAAGAUUAAUUAGGAUAUUAAUUUUAAUGUGGCUUUCAUGUCAAAACAGUGGCACUAAUUGAUAAACAAUAAUAUUACAAAAUUAUAGGAACUGAAAUGGGUCAAUUUGGACUAAGUAUGGAUUUUCUAAGGAUUAAAUAAGUUUUCUGGAUUUAUCUUAAUACUAAAAAUCAAUUUCUGUAAUUAAUUAUCCAUUUUCAUUGUUCUCUGGACUGCGCGCUAAAUAUUGGAAAGUCCAGGGGCUCUGGCGCAAUUUGCACUAAGACUCAGGCAACAACAGGACGUACUCCGGGUUGAUUUGGUGUAACAGCGAGGGUUCUUAUGUAAAAUGGGCGCGACCGAGGGAACCACUUGAUUUGAGCCGUCAGAUCAAAAUAGACGACCCAGAUUAGAUCCCCAACGAAUGAAUCGGUACUCGACAGCAGCAGUUGGAUCUAACACCUGCGGUCUAGAUUUCAUUUCACGACGAGUUACUCUAACACCUAAUCUUGGCCGCACACAGGGAUAUCCACGGUCCACAUGCCUCCACUGAAACAUUAUCCCCUAACCCUCAUCCCCAGUUCCCCACCACUGAAACUUAUAUGAUGCUAAGUGAUGUACUAUACUACAGUGAUGCAUUUGUGAGGCUCAAGUCUAAAGAUCGCCGAAGGUAUGAAAAGAUAUUUCCUUCUGAUGAUGAAUGGACCAUGGCUACAACAAUUAGUCAGUGCUUAGAGAUAUUUUAUAACCUUACAACACUACUAUCUGGCACUUCAUAUCCCACAGCAAACUUGUUUUAUAGAGGUUUUUGUGACAUAAAGGACAUUCUUGACAAGUGGAAAUAUUCUGAUGAUGUGACUAUUAAGAUAAUGGCAUUUGCUAUGAGUGAAAAGUUUGAGAAAUAUUGGAAGAAGUCCAAUAGUGCACUUGCUGUGGCUUCAUUUCUUGAUCCUAGAUACAAGAAAAAGCUCAUAGAGUUCUAUAUGAGAAAGUUCCAUGGUGACUUAUACCAAAUUUAUGUUGAUGAGUUUGUGGCUCUUUUGAGAAAAAUGUUCCAACAUUAUGCUACCUCAGUACCUACAACAUCAACUUCAAGCAAGAGUACUGUGACUUCUAUGAGUGGUCUCACUCCUAGAGGUGGUGUCUCCAAUGCUGAACUUGAUGCCUUCUUGUAUGAUGAUCUUUGCCCAAGUACUGGUAAGUGUAAUGACUUGGAUAAGUAUAUGUUAGAACCACUUCUGAAGCAAAGUGAGUUUGAUAUUUUGUCAUGGUGGAAGAACAAAAAAGAAGAAUAUCCCAUUCUUUCUCAGACGGCUCGUGAUGUUAUGGCUAUACAAGUGUCAACUGUUGCUUCAGAAUCUGCUUUUAGUGCUGGUGGGUGGGUCAUUGAUCCAUACCGUAGUCGCCUUGAUCCUGAGAUGGUGGAAGCGUUAAUUUGCACCAAAGAUUGGAUAGCUGCAACAAACAAAGGUAACAAUUAUAGUUGCUGCUCUUCUUGAGACCAGAUAAUUCACUAAACUAGUAGUGUUGUUAAUUUGUUAUGAGACUAGCAGUCCAGCACACGAUACCUUUUUAUUUGUAAUUAUACAAGAUUUUCUUGUACUAAAAUUGUCUUGUAUUUGCAUUUCAGCUUCCACGCCUAUGCCAUCCCUUCCUAUAGACAUAGAGAUUUUAGAUGUGAUAUCUACUUCUUCGGAUGUCAUAGAAGAUAUAUCAAGUGAUCCAGACGACAUGCCACAUGAUUUCUAGUUUAUGUAUCAUGUGUUUCAGACUUAUAUAUUACAUGGUUAAAACUUCAGUGAACAUGUAUGAUCAUUUAUGUGUGGUCAAGACUCAAGACUAUGUAUUGUGUAUUUGUGUGGUUGAGACUUGUAUGUGGAUGUGAAUGAACAAUCGUGUUUUAAUACUUAUGUAUUGUGUGUUAAAAUUUGAGUGGACAUGUAUAAGUGUAUGGCCAAUUAUAUGUGGACAAGAUUAUGUUUUGUGUACUUUUGUGAAUGAGACUUGUUUGUGGUUGUGAAUGAACAAUUGUGUGGUUAGGAUUUGUUUAUUGUGAGCUUUUCCGAUUACAAUUACCGCUUCCCGAUCAAUUCCGAGCUAUUUUGCUCGGAUUUAUCUGUUUUUGAUAUACCGGAAUUUACCGGUCGUUAUCCGUUUCCGACUUUCCCGUUUACCGAUUCCGGCCGAAUAAAAAAUUAUGCGGGUGAAAACGGAGAGAGUUUUUUUCCGAUCGUUACCGACCGUUUUCACCCUUAAUCCCCACCAUUGAUCGAAGGAUCAAUGGCAACUGCUCAUCUUCUUCCCUACCAUGACACCUAACGCCGCAAUGCCCCAGCGGCCGUGGUGUGCAUCGACGUGCCCCAAAACCGGUGACCCCCACCCAAUCCGACUACUACAAUGUGUAAACGAGGGCGGAGCUCAUGGUGAGUAAGGUUAGCGGCGUCUUACCGGCUAUGGAGUCGACGACGUGGUUGACCACGUCAGAUGGCGGAUCCGUAGCCACCGCAUCAGACCGCCGAGCAAAUUCGGACAAGUCCACCCAUCACCUUGCUCCUGGGAGUUACCUCUAGGUUCGCUGCACACCACCGGUAGUCCCUCGCCCUCCUCCCGAGGCCGGACCGUCAGCCAGGGUAGGAUCCGACCGCGACGGCGACGAGCUCGACUUGCAGCUGCCCGGCGGCGAACCACGGACUCCAUAGGAAACAAACCCAAUACCCCGAUGAACUUCUACGCUCAUCAGCGAACCUCUCUGGCAGGCCCUGGCGCCGCGACCUUCGCUCCACAUGAUCCGACGAACUCCCCCUUUCUCUCUCCUCCCCUUUCUCUCUCCUCGAGUGCGGCCCUGGCGCCGCGACCUUCGCUCCACAUGAUCCGACGAACUCCCCCUUUCUCUCUCCUCGAGUGCGGCGGCGGAUCUCCCCUGUUGGUUUCCUGCGCUCACCCUCUCUCUCCAAUGGCCACGGCACACCAUGGGCGAACGCGCUGCCUUACUUCUGGUUGACCAGGGCGGUGAGUUCCAGGGCCAUGAGCGUUCC